UUCAUUCAUUCAAUCAUUUGGUUCGGUGGCAAUAAAUAGGAAGGGCACAAUACGAGAGAGUCGAUUGUGUCGAAAAGAUUUCAGAAUGAAGUUCACAGCUGCCUUUCUCUUAUUUUGGGCCUUGAUGUUCGUGGCCUCUGGAGUUCCGGUUGACGUUAAUGACUGUGGUCCGGAUCAGAUUUUUGAUGAGUGUGGAAGCGCAUGUCCCCGCACUUGUGAACCAACUCCUCCCAUUGCUACUUGUCCGCCAGUAUGUGUCAGAGGAUGCUUCUGCAGCCCUGGGUUGGUACUUGAUGCUAACAAUAAAUGCGUUAGUCCAGUCGAGUGCCCAUUGUUGGAACAGAUUGGAACAAAUUAACACUGAACUGCGAUGAAUUUUCGAACAAUAUAAUGGAACUUAUGUUAUUUGCUAUCAAUUUUAUUGCAAAUGUGAUAAUAAUAGAAAGAAUAUCCCUAAAUAUGGACCAGUAUGAUUGGUUAUCGUAUACUUCAUCAAGUAGGGUCAAUGUACCAAUAGCCGCAUAGCUAAGGACAAAUGUUCGUAUAAAAUAGAAAAAAUAAAGCCAGUGGUAUUAUUUUAACAUCA